rnacentral:rRNA from 1 species
AGCAGCCGCGGUAAUUCCAGCUCCAAUAGCGUAUAUUAAAGUUGUUGCAGUUAAAAAGCUCGUAGUUGAAUUUCGGGAUUUGUCAGUUGGUCGGGCUUCACUGUCCGUACUGAUUCGAUGGAUUCUUACCUUCUGAAUAACCAGCAUGCUAUUAAGUUAGUGCGUUGGGGAAGCAGAUCUAUUACCUUGAAAAAAUUAGAGUGCUUAAAGCGGGCUAGUGCUUGAAUAGAUUAGCAUGGAAUAAUAAAAUAGGACGGCAUGGUUCUAUUUUGUUGGUUUCUAGGAUCACCGUAAUGAUUAAUAGGGAUAGUUGGGGGCAUUAGUAUUCAAUUGUCAGAGGUGAAAUUCUUGGAUUUAUUGAAGACUAACUUCUGCGAAAGCAUUUGCCAAGGAUGUUUUCAUUAAUCAAGAACGAAAGUUAGGGGAUCGAAGACGAUCAGAUACCGUCGUAGUCUUAACCAUAAACUAUGCCGACUAGGAAUCGGACGAAGUUAAUUUUAUAAUGACUCG